GUGGGGAAUAUUGGACAAUGGGCGAAAGCCUGAUCCAGCAAUGCCGCGUGAGUGAUGAAGGCCUUAGGGUUGUAAAGCUCUUUUACCAGGGAUGAUAAUGACAGUACCUGGAGAAUAAGCUCCGGCUAACUCCGUGCCAGCAGCCGCGGUAAUACGGAGGGAGCUAGCGUUGUUCGGAAUUACUGGGCGUAAAGCGCACGUAGGCGGUGACUCAAGUCAGAGGUGAAAGCCCGGGGCUCAACCCCGGAACUGCCUUUGAAACUAGGUAACUAGAAUCUUGGAGAGGUCAGGGGAAUUCCGAGUGUAGAGGUGAAAUUCGUAGAUAUUCGGAAGAACACCAGUGGCGAAGGCGACUGACUGGACAAGUAUUGACGCUGAGGUGCGAAAGCGUGGGGAGCAAACAGGAUUAGAAACCCGAGUAGUCC
rnacentral:rRNA from 1 species